CUCAGGAAGCCAAGCGUUCCCAAUCUCCCAUCAUGACUUGGACCGUUGUCCUUGUGCUUUUUUGGACUUAUUGCUCAGGUGAGGGUUGAAGGUUUUCCAUCUGCAGCUUUAAAUAAAUCAAGGCAUGCCCUUUUCUGUUACUUUAAUAAAAAACAAGAUCAGCUUGCUCAGAACCCUACAAAACCAAGCCAGGUGUUUACUCUUUUCUCUGUUUCCAGGUAUCACUUCAUUGCCUGUGAUGACUCAGGCUCCCUCCCAGUCUGUGACUCUGAGGAACACAGUGAGAUUCACCUGCACUUUGAGCAGUGGAUAUGAGGGCUGGAGCAUCGAGUGGUAUCAGCAGAGAGAGGGACAGGUCCCUCGGCUUGUGGUGUAUUCUGAUAGCAACAGAGCCGGUGGGAUCCCAGAUCGGUUCUCUGGCUCCAAAUCAGGCAGCGAGCGCUAUCUGACCAUCACUGGUGUCCAACCAGAGGAUGAGGCCACAUAUUACUGUGGUGCAGGUGACAGCAGUGGGUUGG